AAGUGUUACAGCUCUUUUAGAAUUUGUCUAGCAGGUCUUCUGGUGCUUGUUGGAAAGCCCCC
rnacentral:snRNA from 1 species